rnacentral:misc_RNA from 1 species
AACGGUCUAUACCUGCGGUACCUGCGGAGGGAUCAUUACCGAGCCUACCCCCCGGGUAGAUCUCCCACCCACUGUGAUCACUACCCCCGUUGCCUUGGCGGGCCGCCGACCGGCCGCCCGCCAGAGGACCCCCAAGACCCUGGAUGUCGGUGUUGUCCGAGUACAGCUUAUAACGAUCAAAACUUUUAGCAACGGAUCUCU